rnacentral:rRNA from 1 species
GACGAACGCUGGCGGCGUGCUUAACACAUGCAAGUCGAACGAAAAGGCCCUGCUUUUGCGGGGUUCUCGAGUGGCGCACGGGUGAGUAACACGUGAGUAUCCUGUCCUUGUCUUUGUGAUAACUUCAGGAAACUCCGGCGCAUACCCGAUAGGAGCUCCUGCUGCAUGGUGGGGGAUGGUAAGUUUCGGCGGUUGUGGCUGGAUUCGCGGGUUACCAGCUUGUUGGUCAGGUAGUGGCUUACCAAGGCUUUGAGGGGUAGCCGGCCUGAGAGGGUGACCGGCCACCAUGGGACUGAGGGACGCAGCAGACGGCUACGGGACGCAGCAGUGGAGAGUAUGACAGAAUGGGCGCAAGUCAGAGGCGGCAGCGCUGCGUGCGGGAUGCUGGGCUACGGGUGGUAAACAGCUGUGUACGGUACUGAAGCGGGAGUGACGGUAAUGAGUAAGGAAGCCCCGGCUAACUACGUG